rnacentral:rRNA from 1 species
AGAGUUUGAUCAUGGCUCAGGAUAAACGCUGGCGGCGUGCCUUAUGCAUGCAAGUCGAACGUGAAGCCCGCUUCGGCGGGUGGAAAGUGGCGAACGGGUGAGUAACACGUAGGAACCUGCCCGGAAGUGGGGGAUAACCCCGCGAAAGCGGGGCUAAUACCGCAUGUGGUCGUAAGACUAAAGCUUCGGUGCUUCCGGAGGGGCCUGCGGCGGAUUAGCUAGUUGGUGGGGUAAUGGCCUACCAAGGCGACGAUCCGUAGCUGGUCUGAGAGGAUGGUCAGCCACACUGGAACUGAGACACGGUCCAGACUCCUACGGGAGGCAGCAGCAAGGAAUUUUGCGCAAUGGGCGAAAGCCUGACGCAGCAACGCCGCGUGGGGGAAGAAGGCCUUCGGGUUGUAAACCCCUUUUGCGAGGGAAGAAGAUCUGACGGUACCUCGCGAAUAAGCCACGGCUAACUACGUGCCAGCAGCCGCGGUAAUACGUAGGUGGCAAGCGUUGUCCGGAUUUACUGGGCGUAAAGCGCGCGCAGGCGGAUUGGUCAGUCCGGGGUGAAAUCUCACGGCUCAACUGUGAGCGGUCCCCGGAUACUGCCAGUCUCGAGGUGUCUAGAGGAGAGCGGAAUUCCCGGUGUAGUGGUGGAAUGCGUAGAUAUCGGGAAGAACACCAGUGGCGAAAGCGGCUCUCUGGGGACCACCUGACGCUGAGGCGCGAAAGCGUGGGGAGCGAACCGGAUUAGAUACCCGGGUAGUCCACGCCGUAAACGAUGAGCACUAGCUGUCGGGGGUAUCGACCCCCUCGGUAGCGCAGCUAACGCGAUAAGUGCUCCGCCUGGGGACUACGGCCGCAAGGCUAAAACUCAAAUGAAUUGACGG